AGUCACACAGAUUGACAUGACAGAAUUAAGUAAUACAUCCUACAUUUUGGAAGUACUUACUCCUGAGGUAACCCUAUUAAUCCUAAAAAAGACAGAGGGCUUCCACAGGUUCCAGGCAGAAACGGCUUUGCAAACAAAGGGACAUUUGGGAGCAUCCACAGAUUCUGAUCCUGAAUGGUUUUGAUGACAAAGGGAUGCCUCCUGUUGCUGCACCACACAUUGUGCUACUGUCUGGACUUUUCUCUGUGCCCCCUUCCCUGUUAUCUUUAUCAAAUUUGUUGAAUAAUACAGUCUAAAGAGUCACUUUGCAGAACUAAUAUAG